rnacentral:rRNA from 1 species
AGCGAACGCUGGCAGCAGGCCUAACACAUGCAAGUCGAACGGACCCUUCGGGGUUAGUGGCGGACGGGUGAGUAACACGCGGGAACGUGCCUUUAGGUUCGGAAUAGCUCCUGGAAACGGGUGGUAAUGCCGAAUGUGCCCUUCGGGGGAAAGAUUUAUCGCCUUUAGAGCGGCCCGCGUCUGAUUAGCUAGUUGGUGAGGUAAUGGCUCACCAAGGCGACGAUCAGUAGCUGGUCUGAGAGGAUGACCAGCCACAUUGGGACUGAGACACGGCCCAAACUCCUACGGGAGGCAGCAGUGGGGAAUCUUGCGCAAUGGGCGAAAGCCUGAGGCAGCCAUGCCGCGUGAAUGAUGAAGGUCUUAGGAUUGUAAAAUUCUUUCACCGGGGACGAUAAUGACGGUACCCGGAGAAGAAGCCCCGGCUAACUUCGUGCCAGCAGCCGCCGUAAAAC